CUCAUCAACACCUUAAUAGUAGCUUUGUGAUGACAAAUUCAAGUUGUGACUGAAUUCUUGACACACAGAAGCUGUAAGAAAAUAUGUAUUUGUAACUUCAAGCUGUUAAGUUUGUAGUGAUUUGUUAUGCAGCAAUGGAUGACUAGUAUAAUGGAUCAACUCACUUAAAUUUGGGAACUUCAGUUCCUGAUCAAGGUGGAUAAGUACUUUGACCACUGAUUGACACAGCAGAACAAGGAUUUGGGGUCAAGCUGUGCAACCCAAGCAUGAAAAUAGCCUGCUGAAAGAAUUCACUUUGAAAAUGCCACAAAACAGACAAUGGAAAAAUGAGCGUUAUUUUUCAGUAACGAUACAAAGCAGAAUCCUCAAGAAUACAGACAAAGGUGAUGCAUAUUUACUGUAUGUGCUGGCUGUGGUUCAUUGAAA
ensembl:lincRNA